CCUACGGGAGGCAGCUGUGAGGAAUAUUGGUCAAUGGACGAGAGUCUGAACCAGCCAAGUAGCGUGAAGGAUGACUGCCCUAUGGGUUGUAAACUUCUUUUAUAUGGGAAUAAAACGUUCCACGUGUGGGAUUUUGUAUGUACCAUAUUAAUAAGGAUCGGCUAACUCCGUGCCAGCAGCCGCGGUAAUACGGCGGAUCCGAGGGUUAUCCGGAUUUAUUGGGUUUAAAGGGAGCGUAGGUGGAUGGUUAAGUCAGUUGUGAAAGUUUGCGGCUCAACCGUAAAAUUGCAGUUGAAACUGGCAGUCUUGAGUACAGUAGAGGUGGGCGGAAUUCGUGGUGUAGCGGUGAAAUGCUUAGAUAUCACGAAGAACUCCGAUUGCGAAGGCAGUUCACUGGACUGCAACUGACACUGAGGCUCGAAAGUGUGGGUAUCAAACAGGAUUAGAUACCCGGGUAGUC
rnacentral:rRNA from 1 species